rnacentral:ncRNA from 2 species
AUGCUGGUGAAGCGCACCAGUCUGGACCCAGGGUAGUAAGGGAAGCCGGUGUAAAUCCGGCGCAGUACCCGCUACUGUAAGUCACUCCCUAUCUGCAGCUCCCCAUGGGGAUGAUAGAUAGGCUCCUCCUAUGACGGAAGGACCAACGAGCUCUUCGCCGAGCGUCUUGGCAGACCUUCGCCACUGAGUACGAAGCUACUUGGGAAGGAUCGUAGGAAUGAGAAGUUAGGGUGAUAAGCCAGGAGACCUGCUCAUGAGAUCCAAUGUGU